rnacentral:rRNA from 1 species
CCUACGGGAGGCUGCAGUGAGGAAUAUUGGUCAAUGGGCUUACGCCUGAACCAGCCAAGUCGCGUGAGGGAAGACUGCCCUAUGGGUUGUAAACCUCUUUUGUCAGGGAGCAAAUGGCGCUACGUGUAGCGUUAUCGAGAGUACCUGCAGAAAAAGCAUCGGCUAACUCCGUGCCAGCAGCCGCGGUAAUACGGAGGAUGCCAGCGUUAUCUGGAUUUAGUGGGUUAAAGGGGUGCGUAGGCGGAAUGCCAAGUCAGCGGUAAAAUCGCGGGGCUCAACCGCGCUCCGCCGUUGAAACUGGCGUACUAGAGUGAGCGAGAAGUAUGCGGAAUGCGUGGUGUAGCGGUGAAAUGCGUAGAUAUCGCGCAGAACAC